rnacentral:rRNA from 1 species
UGGGGAAUCUUCCGCAAUGGACGAAAGUCUGACGGGGCAACGCCGCGUGAGUGAAGAAGGUUUUCGGAUCGUAAAACUCUGUCUUUUGGGGCGAACGUGAGUAUGGUGAACAAUCAUAGUCAGUGACGGUACCAAAGGAGGAAGCCACGGCUAACUACGUGCCAGCAGCCGCGGUAAUACGUAGGUGGCAAGCGUUGUCCGGAAUUAUUGGGCGUAAAGAGCGCGUAGGCGGGAUAGUCAGUCUGUUGUAAAAGUGCGGGGCUCAACCCCGUGAUGGCAAUGGAAACAGCUAUUCUUGAGUGCAGGAGAGGAAAGUGGAAUUCCCAGUGUAGCGGUGAAAUGCGUAGAUAUUGGGAGGAACACCAGUGGCGAAGGCGACUUUCUGGACUGUGUCUGACGCUGAGGCGCGAAAGCCAGGGGAGCGAACGGGAUUAGAUACCCCGGUAGUCCUGGCCGUAAACGAUGGGUACUAGGUGUGGGAGGUAUCGACCCCUUCCGUGCCGGAGUUAACGCAAUAAGUACCCCGCCUGGGGAGUACGGUCGCAAGACUGAAACUCAAAUGAAUUGACGGGGUCAUAGCUGUUUCCUG